GAUGGUGGAGAUCGGCGGGGAGAACUUCCGGCUGGACUUCGCGGUGAGCAGGGAGCAGACGAACGCGGCCGGGGAGAAGAUGUACAUCCAGACGCGGAUGGCCGAGUACAAGGAGGAGCUCUGGGAGAUGCUCAAGAAGGACAACACCUACGUCUACAUGUGUGGGCUUAAGGGCAUGGAGAAGGGCAUCGACGACAUCAUGGUCGACCUCGCCGCCAAGGACGGUAUGUACCAACAAUCCAUUCAUCCUGCUCUUCGAAAGCUCGGAAAGUAAAUAAAUAAUCAUCCGAUCGUUGGUUCCUGUUCUUAUAUCUUGCUGAUGCUGAGAUGAUGAAAUGUUAUUAUGUUGCUGUUGUUGGCAGGCAUCAACUGGCUUGACUACAAGAAGCAGCUCAAGAAGGCUGAGCAGUGGAACGUGGAGGUCUACUGAUCAUCAUCAUCGUGUCAUUGCCAUGGAAGGACAUGCAUGCUAAUGUUUUUCCCACCUAGUUUUCAUUUUUACUCCAGAUGGAUAUUGUGCAAAGCUCAAGCUUCGGCCAUAUAUACGCCUUGUAUCUAGCGAUGAGUGUGUAGCACCGCGAUCAUCAAAUGUUAAACCAAUUGUUGGCUCCUCUGAUCAAUCGAUCAAUGUAGA
rnacentral:lncRNA from 1 species